GACGGCAAUGGCGGUGUUCUGCUGUAGAGCGCAAUCCGAGCGCAUCGGGGAUUCGCGCGGUAGUUUCGGUUGCAGUUCACCUUACUGGAGGAGCCUCCGGUGUUCUUACCGAUGGCAUCCACGUGCUGUUAACUUGGCAGGCACAGAUGGAGGAGGACACUCGCCAUCGUUUGGAAUGUUCUCGAUUGUCCGCGAGGCCUGUGGAGACGUCCGUAUCGUGGGCCUCACAAUGCUGCAGUGGCCCACCGGUGGCGCCUUCGGGGUGUUGCAGUAACGAAGGACCCUGAAGUGUUGUGUGAGGUCACCAGUGGGCAGCAGUUGCUGUGGGUGGACGCCUUCCGGAGGGCAGCGUGGCUGUGUAAAGUGGCAGCUUGUAGACGUAUCUGGUGGAGGAGGAUCAGCCUGAGAAAACUGAAGGACGUUUACAUCGCCGAAGAGGAUUGUGAUUUUCAACGGGGUAUGUGGUCCUCUGGUGUGGCCCUCUGUGAGACCGAGCAGAGUAGCAUGUCUCGGGGUCGCGAUGAUUGAAACGUAAAGAAAGGAAAACAAUCAUGGAGCUCCCAGAUGUGGAAAAUGACACCAAGGAAGGAUCAUCUGAGGGGGUCAUUGAGUGAAGGGGCUUCAGCGGAGGUUUAGAUUAGCUGGUGACACCAGACCAGCGGGGUCAUCCUGCAUGGGUCACUUCACCUGGUGGCACCUGGUGUGUGGCACCUUUGUAAAGUGUCUUGGGGGGGGUGAAGUUGUUGUUUUGUGCGUCUCCGAUAUUUGUAAAUAAAGGUCCUACUGUUCAUAGA